rnacentral:rRNA from 1 species
GAUGAACGCUGGCGGCGUGCUUAACACAUGCAAGUCGAACGAAGUGGCGAACGGGUGAGUAACGCGUAAUUAACCUGUCCUUCUGAGGGGGACAACAGUUGGAAACGACUGCUAAUACAGCAUACUGAAGGAGGGGAUUGCGUCUGAUUAGCUAGUUGGAGGGGUAACGGCCCACCAAGGCGAUGAUCAGUAGGCGGUCUGGGAGGAUGAACGGCCACAUUGGGACUGAGACACGGCCCAGACUCAUACGGGAGGCAGCAGUAGGGAAUCUGCAGCAAUGGAAGAAAGUCUGACGGAGCAACGCCGCGGGAGUGAGGACGGCCUUCGGGUUGUAAAGCUCUGUUAAUCGGGACGCGGUACCGGAAGAGAAAGCCACGGCUAACUACGUGCCAGCAGCCGCGGUAAUAC